rnacentral:lncRNA from 1 species
UGUUCCCCGCCCCCAAAAGCUGGUAAGCAGUAGUCGAGAGUCUGUUCCCAUAAUUCCAGCAUUUGGGAGGUAGAGGCAAGAGGAUUAAGGUCAUACCUCACUGCUUAGCGAGUUGUAGGCCAGCUUGGGCUACAUGAGAGCCUGUCUCAGAAAACCAAACCUAGCGACUGGAGAGAUGGCCCAACAGCUGAGAGCUCUUCCUGCUCUUUCAGAGGAACCAGGCUCGGUUCCCAGAACUCAAAUCAGGUGUUUUACAUUCACCAACCACCUGAUUACAACCACUGAACAACUCAAGUUCUGGGAAAUAUGCCAUCUUCCAGCUCUGUGGGCACAUGCACACAAGAAAAUAAAAAGUUGGUAAGUACAGAGAAGAACCAAUAAUCUAGAUUUAUUCCGGUCGUUUUGGUCCUCCUCCUCCUCCUCCCCCUCCUCCUCUUUGAUUUUUUGAGACAGUCC